CCUGCAGUCGACGCGGUUUCCCGCAAGGGGAAACUGAGUGGCGAACGGGUGAGUAACACGUGGGUGACCUACCUUCGAGUGGGGGAUAACGUCCCGAAAGGGACGCUAAUACCGCAUAACAUCCUGCCUUUGAACAGGCGGAGAUCAAAGCCGGGGAUCGUAAGACCUGGCGCUUGAUGAGGGGCCCGCGUCCGAUUAGCUAGUUGGUGAGGUAAUGGCUCACCAAGGCAACGAUCGGUAGCCGGCCUGAGAGGGCGGACGGCCACACUGGGACUGAGACACGGCCCAGUCUCCUACGGGAGGCAGCAGUGGGGAAUUGUUCGCAAUGGGCGCAAGCCUGACGACGCAACGCCGCGUGGAGGAUGAAGGUCUUCGGAUUGUAAACUCCUGUUGCCCGGGACGAAUGGCCACGACCUAACACGUCGUGGUGUGACGGUACCGGGUGAGGAAGCCCCGGCUAACUCUGUGCCAGCAGCCGCGGUAAUACAGAGGGGGCAAGCGUUGUUCGGAAUUACUGGGCAUAAAGGGCGCGUAGGCGGCCUGUUAAGUCGAACGUGAAAAUCCCCGGGCUCAACCCGGGAACUGCGUCCGAUACUGGGCAGGCUCGAAUUCGGGAGAGGGAUGCGGAAUUCCAGGUGUAGCGGUGAAAUGCGUAGAUAUCUGGAGGAACACCGGUGGCGAAGGCGGCAUCCUGGACCGACAUUGACCCUGAUGCCCGAAAACCCAGGGGAGCAAACGGGAAUAAAAUACCCCCGGUAUUCCUGGCCCUAAACAAUAAAUGCUUGGUGUGGCCGGGUAUCCAUCCCCUGCCCUGGCCAAAGCUAACCCAUUUAAGCAUUCCCCCCUGGGGA
rnacentral:rRNA from 1 species